rnacentral:rRNA from 1 species
UACAGAGGUCCCGAGCGUUGUUCGGAUUCAUUGGGCGUAAAGGGUGCGUAGGCGGCGGGGCAAGUCUGAUGUGAAAUCCUGGGGCUCAACCCCAGAACUGCAUUGGAUACUGCUUUGCUAGAGUACUGGAGAGGGAACUGGAAUUUACGGUGUAGCAGUGAAAUGCGUAGAGAUCAUGAGGAAGACCAGUGGCGAAGGCGGGUCUCUGGACAGUUCCUGACACUGAGACACGAAGGCCAGGGGAGCAAACGGG